CGAGGAGGAAGUGCUUUUACCCGUUUUGCCGAAUGCGGAAGUAGGUUACGCAUAUGGCGGAUUUGCUGACCCCCCCCUCCAACUUGUCAAUUUUUUGGUCAACUAGUUGAGUUAGUGAAAUUGUGGCUAAUUAAGAUAUAAUAAUUCUUGUCUACAAGCACAAUGGAGGAGUUCACUUUUUGACCUAAAACUACCAGAUGACGUCCCCUGAUUGUGCAGACCACUGGAUCUCCUCACACAGGCCCCGCUCGUUUGUUUGGCGGGUGUUGUGUUCUGGUCUCCGCGGGCCUCGAGGGGCCCGGGUGAUGCCGCGUCACAUUCACGCCGGGUGAAAGGGGGCUACGCAGCCUAUCGUUUGGUUUGGGGCCAUUCAUGGAAGAACAUUACAGUAUCCCUCGGGCCCGCUAUCACGUUACGCCGGAGCCAACGCCGUUGCAAAGGAGGCUGUCCAAAAUGCUUAAUGAAUCUCCAAGUGAACUGUGAAACAGUCGCUCCACCUGCCACUCACUGUCAACACCUCGCCAUCGUUCAACGUCGCCUUUCUGGCUUGCAUACCUGAACGUGAUAGGCCAGCCUUGGCCCCCCGUUCGCCUGCUCCAAAGACCCAUUCAAAGACUCUGAU